rnacentral:misc_RNA from 1 species
CACGGGACCCUAUUGGCACUCCAUCACGAAGUCUAUCGGACCGCACGUCCGGAAAGGGUGGUGCUCUCAACUGAUCGACGCAACACGUACCUUGGAAUGAGGGCGUGGAGCGAGAUCCAUGAGGAGGACGUAUCGUCGAGUUGGGUUUACCGCGGCGCAGAGCGCGGAGCUCUGGGAGCGUUGGAAGAAGGGUGAAGGCCUGAAGUCGAUCGGGCGCACCCUUGGCAAGCCGUCUUCCUGCAUUUUUGC